rnacentral:lncRNA from 9 species
AUGAACAAUUCAGGGGCUCCCUGCCUCCUCCAGGCCCCUCUGGUGUGUCGCUGGCAGAAUCUGGGGCUUAAGGAACAGGGCAAGCUGAAUAAUCAAGACCAUGGAACAAAACUGGUGCUGGAAUCAGGCAGGCUCCAUCUUCAUGGUCUCUUUAGCGGUCCGUCUCCAGGGAAGCUGAUUGGAGAGGAAAGAUGCAGGGAAGCGGCCCGGCGCUCGAUCAGCUGUGUCACCAGGAAACGGGGAGGAAGUGCUGUCCCCAGGCUGGUGCUGGUCAGCGUCUGCAGUCUGCUCUUGCUGGGCAUCUGGCUGUCCCUCGGAGGAGAGGCUCCAGGUGCUGGCCCCUCUCCAUGCGAGAAGAAAGGCAUGGCCAGAUUGACGGCGAAACUGCAAAAUGGCAGCGGGUCUGAGAGGAACACAGAUGAGCUCCAGUCGAUAAAGCUGCACCUGCAGAAGCGCAGCCGCCGCAGAGGCAGGACACCAGGGGACACCUGAGUUUGUCCUUGUGUCGUGUUUUUUAAAGUCUUAGAGGCAGAAUCAAAGGCAGGGGCUCGCCAGUAUGUCGCGGUGCCAAACACCAGAGACCGAGCCCCCCGCCCAUAAAUUGGGGUGGUUGAUUUCACCUCCAUCCUGCAGGCCUGGGUGUGUUUCUUAUUUGCUCAUCUUUUACUGGCAUCACCCCCUCCCCGGGUCCUGGGGGAGAUCUGCAGGCUCUGGAACGUUGCCUUUGAACAUAUCCUGGAUUCGAGCAUCAAGAGGAGGUGGCGAGGGCUGGGGGGCCCCCCUGACGUGCGGCUCCAGCAUCAGCCUCUGCAAUUACCAGCCCGAUUCCCACAGACGGGAACUGCAAAGUGUGAACCACAUGGGCGCAAGGCGGUGACGGUGUCGGCCGCAAAUGACUCUCGGCCCUGCUGCCACGGCCGCCGUCCUCGCCCUCUGCUUUUCACCUUUUAUCCUUCUCAGCGUCAUGACUUAAUCCACUCUAAUGAGGUGACUCGACUGCCAAAACCCAGCGGCCACGCGGCUCUCUUCUGGCACAGCGUGGGGGUUCGUAAGAAGCCGAGCAAGAAGGGGCUUUGUCAGGCUUCCAGGAGAGGAGCCAGCGCUCCUUUGACGAGGGUCCCUUCUGGCGGCAAGUUUGCUCCAUCCGCGUGCGGCCGUGCGCUGUGUCCGUCAGGGCGGGGACCCGGCAAGGUUGCCUGCCUGCGCGUUUAACUUACCGGCGCUUGAAGGACGCGGCUGGUGGCCACAUGUCACUGUUUACAACCAGCAGGUGACGGCCAACAGCGGCGAGCCUGCGAAUCCGCUCGUCCCUCUCCUUACCCAUCUGUCCACGCGUCCUGGGUUGGAAGCGCCCGAGCGGAGAUGCAGCGGCGAGGACCACGGCGGCAAGAUGGUGCUGCUGACAAACGCCCACGGAGGAGCCGGGGAGAAAAUAACCUCCUUGCGUCUAAUGUGGCAGCGAGGUUUAGCGGCGGCGGAAAGGAGAGCCGGUUUAAUUGGUGACUCCCAUAUGUUCCCCGAGCUCCCUCUCAGAACUCGGCAACGAGGCGGCGGCGCCAGGAGAUCAGAUGUCGCUGGGCUGCUCUUACACCUGCCCCGCCACCAGCCUGGCUCCGUGGCAGCCUCUGCUAGUAAUUAGCAUCUUCUCUUCCGCUGACUUCACACUGCUCGGCCGUGUGUCGCGGUCCCGGGAAACGCCAGGCCUGCGCCCCUUCCCAGGCGCGCGGGCCAACCUGCCCGUGGGCUGCCCUCCACCACCAGCCCCAGCUCCACCAGCCCUGUGCCGGUAUCUUCUAUUUUUAUAAUUAAUACAAUAUUUCACUCUAAUGGCUUUUUUUUUUUUUUUUUUCAUUGAAAGAAGGGAGAAAGAAGAAAAGGCAAGCACAAUGCCCUGAAAGCUCAUGGGAUUAACCGCGUGGUCUUAAUAAAUGUACACACAUCCAAGGCAGGGAGAAAAAAUGUGCCUGUUACACGGCUCGAAGCUCCCCCCUUUCUGCAGCCUUAAUCUGAUUUUCGCCCACUCCUUUUGAUCUAUCAGGGGCAGCCAAGUCAUGUCCACAGGUACAGAUGGACUAAAUAUGGAGAUUAGCCCCUCCCCUCCUGCCCCAGCGCCUAAUACCUGAUUAAGUCUAGAAUCGCGCAAUUGUCUGCGAGCCGGCUAUCAGAGUGGCCGGGCUCAGAAGGGGGCAGGAUGAAGGCCGAUUUUGUAAUGGAUACUUAUUUUAUCCCAGUGCCCUAAGAAGAUUAGGCCUGGGGGUGUCACAUUAGCCGUGAUCCCCGGGCCCCUGGUCGACUCUUGCGGUUUUCAAACACCUCUCCUCGGUCUUAGAACAAACAGGGAGCUUGGAGCCAGCGGCCCCAUGUCAGGCAUGAAUAAUUGCCCACUGCAAACUGUUUGAAGAUCACAAAAUGCUGUGUAAAUUACUCAGUUUGGGCUUUAGUCGGGGUGAUUUGUGGUGACUUAUUGAAUCUUUUCACAGUUCAGAAUUAAACUUUCUCCGCUGCUCGCUGCAGACGCGUAGAAUGAAAGUUGAGUCUUAACUGACAGCACAGCCCUUAGAUCAGCCUCUGCAGAAGCCCAGAGCAGUCGGGCGGUCCCAGCCCCACCGGCCCUGCAUUUGAGAGGGUCUGCGGAUGCCUAUUCUUAGCUGCUCUGCCAAGAUAUGCCUAUUCAGCAGGCAACUUAAAAUAGCUAUUGAAACCAAGAAAAAAGAAGAAAGAAAGAAAGAAAGAAAGAAAGAAAGAAAGAAAGAAAGAAAGAAAGAAAGAAAGAAAGAAAGAAAGAAAGAAAGAAAGAAAAAGAAAGAAAGAAAGGAGAAAGGAGAAAGGGAGAAAGAAAGAAAGAGGGAGGGGAACUGUUGGUUUUGAAUCACCCACGUGUUUUUGGCGUGAUCUCUUGGGUGAUUUUCCUACCAGCAUAUCCAAUUAUUUUUUGUUUGUUUUCAAACAUGGCACAUUUCUUUAAUUAGCGAGGGCAAACAACUUAGAAACAGAACGAAAAAAAAAAAUAAGUUUAAUACUUCUGGUCGGGGAAACAACGUGAUUAAACAACAUUCAAUUAGAGGGAAUUAGCUGGGCUGGUAGUUUCCCAACUGAGUUAAUUCCCGGUAAGUGUAACUGACCCUGGUGUUCUCGGCCCAGGUGCCAGCACCACUGAUGGCCCUUUGAAUAGAGAGAGUGAACUGCCUUUGUAUUUCAAAAACAUGUGUGCUGUAGGGUAUUGAAGGGGUCUCUGUUUUCUGGCAUUUUGCCCGCCCUGGCUCUAUCCAAGAGGUUGCUGGGGAAAAUUAAUUACUAUGUAUUUUUUCUUUGUGUUUACCUGAUCUAAGUUGUCUGUGGUAAAUAAUAAUUAUAAAAUCAAAAAUAAACUCCGUACUAGCAGAAAUAAUGAUGAUUCUUAAUCUUGCCAAGUAUUUCAGAAAUCAUGUAUGAAUAAAGACAACUGCUUUAAAGGUAAUUACUUUAUGGUAAAGAACCCCAGAUAGCAUUUGCGUGUUCUGACUGUUCUUUGGGAGAAUGAUAGUUCGAGCGAUCUGUUUUAAAAUUAUCCGGAAACUUCUAAUCAGACAUCUGAACAUAUGAAUGUUUUUACUCACACAGCAUUAAGAAAAUAAUCAAAAUUAGAAUAUGGAAGGAAAAUGGAAUUCUCUCUCUAGUGGAAAAGUAUUAGCAGUGAUUUUAUGUACUUGUUUAUUUUCUGAUUUUCUUUGAUUAUGCUAUAUUUAAAAUAAAUAUUGACUAGAUG